CCUACGGGAGGCAGCAGUGAGGAAUAUUGGUCAAUGGGCGCGAGCCUGAACCAGCCAAGUCGCGUGAGGGAGUACUGCCCUAUGGGUUGUAAACCUCUUUUGUCGGGGAGCAAAAGCCGGACGUGUCCGGCUGUGAGAGUACCCGAAGAAAAAGCAUCCGCUGACUCCGUGUCAGCAGCCGCGGUAAUACGGUGGAUGCGAGCGUUCUCCGGAUUUAUUGGGUUUAAAGGGUGCGCAGGCGGAUUUUUAAGUCAGCGGUAAAAUCGUGGGGCUCAACCCCAUCCAGCCGUUGAAACUGGGGAUCUAGAGUGUGCGAGAGGUAUGCGGAAUGCGUGGUGUAGCGGUGAAAUGCAUAGAUAUCACGCAGAACCCCGAUUGCGAAGGCAGCAUACCGGUGCACAACUGACGCUCAGGCACGAAAGCGUGGGUAUCGAACAGGAUUAGAUACCCGGGUAGUC
rnacentral:rRNA from 1 species